rnacentral:lncRNA from 1 species
UCCAUCAAAAACAGAAGUCUAACAUAAGUCUCAAAGCCACUAUUGGAAAGUGAUUGAAACGUAACCCAUACAUCACAAUAUGAAAUGAAAAGAUUUGAAAGCAAUAAAGAAUCUUGGUCCUCGGAACAUGAGGACUCACCAAUCUUCAAUGUCUAUAUGGGAUCACUGGCCACGAGUGUGCGGAAUGGAAGCGUCGGACCCUACAUUAGUGAAACAAUGUAGGCACAAGUAUGCAUUAGUACAUGGAAUGUACUAAGUAUGAUAACAAUGCAUAAAGAGUAAUGAAAUCUUGCUAAAAGGGACUUUAUAUGACAUGCAAUGAUCAAGCUAAAUCAUAAAAUAACAUGUUAGAAGACAUAAGUCGAAAUCAUGGUCAAUGCAAGCUAAACAUCUUUAAAACACAUUUGAGAUACUUCUAGAAGUAACCUUAGUUCAUUCUUGUGGGAAGUUUGCCAUUAACUGACAUAGACCAUGUGAGCUAUAACAUGGAAUCUAGUGUCUAUUCCACAUCGAAAAGAGAUGUCCUUACUUGCCAAGGUAAGAACCAUAAACUUCUAGCUUAGGUGGAUCCACUAGCUAAUCUCUAUCUAAGACAACCUAUGGUGACACAUAGUUAUGUGAUAGGGAGAUUGCUACUAGAAACCCAGCCUCAACUAUGGGAGAGCUUCCAUCUUGAUAUCCUCUCGGUGCUAAUUAAGCAUAAAUCCCACGGAAUAGUCAUUAAUCUUAACUUAUCUUAUUAUCCAUGGAAGGGCACAUGAAGUAGCCAAUCAAAGCUAGAAUUCAUUAUAGCCAAUCCUAGGUGAGAAAACCUUUCAACCUUGUGAAUCAUUUAUGUGAGCAAAUCCUUUCACAAUAACUUCAUAUGUGAGAAAUCCUUUCACAACAACAAUUCAUAAAGAAACAUGCAUAUCUUCAUAAAUUCAUCUUUCAUAUUUCAAAAGCUUCAUCAUAUAAUCAAAAUCCAGAAAAUUAUGGAUCAUGCAUGGGUUCAAUUGCAUUGAACUUAAAAACAUGUAGUUAUCUCAAUUCAUGCAUAAAAAUACAUAAAACAAUCAAUUGGAUCAUAAUUGAGAGCAACCCAUGAAAUUGAAUAAAACCCUAAUUUCAAUUGGAGAACUCUAACUUGUAAUAUUGGAGAAUUUAGGAACCUUAUGGAGGAAAGAACUCCACAGGUGAAUACUAUCAUACCUUGAUGUCAAAAACCCCCAAUCAAUGGUGAAUUUGGAGACUGGAUCCUGAAACCCUAGACUAGUUUAUCAAACAUAUCAAGCCUAUUUAAGAAUGACAAGAAGGUACAUCUAUUAAUUGCCUGUGUAGACUUUGGCCUAUUCAAGAAUGACAAGAAACAACAUGCAUUAAUUAGUUUUUGUACAUUUCGGGUUACCUAAAAUGUUAACAAUAACAUACUUUUUGCAGUCUUCCAACUGGGAUCUUUGAAGGGUAGGAUGUAAGCAGAUCUUACCUCUACCUUCGUAAGUCAGAGACUAAAAAACUCUCGAUUCAAAAGGAAAGUACCUAGGAUACAAAAGAAAUGUAACAAUAAGAGGUUACCUAAAUGUUACUGAUGGUAAUCGUCCAUAAAAUACAAUAAGUUAAAUGCAAUCAUGUAUAGUUGGCUCAUCACUUCGUUUGAGUUGGAUGUUGGUUUGCAACCAUUGCAGGAAGAAUCAGUACUAAGUAAUUAGGAAAAGGAAAUUGAACAGAUAGAGCAACAACAAAAUACAUGUUUUAUCGCAAAUACUUCUUAACUAAAUCAAUCAACAAAGAAAAUAAAAACAACAUUCAGCUGCAAAAUUCUCUUUUGUAUUCAGAUUGCAUAACGACAAUCACAAGAAGCUCAGCUCAAAAACAUAAAAAACUGAAUUGUAUCGCAACUUCAAGCAACAUGAGAAAUUGUAGCUAUAACUUAUAGAACAACCUUGAAUUCCUUAAAAUACCUAUAGAAAUAACCUAUUAUAAUCAAGAAACUCGCCUUGAAACUAUAUACUCAAGUGAAAUCCUCACUAACCACAUAACUGAAAAGUAGCAAUAAGAUGAUUUUCAGUUCACUCGAGUAGCCAACAUGUCUAUAGAUAUGAUUGCACAAGUGUAUAAACAAAUUCGUAACAAUGACCACGAUUUAAUUUUCUGACUGUUCUUCCCUCAUUUCAAACAAAUCAUACUAAUUACUCCCAAACUCCAAAAAAAAGAAAACAAUCAAACCAUGUAAAGACAAAAGCAUAAAGUACCUGUAACAAUUAGCAAAGUUCAAAAAAAAAAAUUCAAUUACAAUACUUAGAAACCAGUAGAACACGAAUUGAAAAUAUUGAUUCUUAAUUUCAGCUUCAAUUCUACAAAAAUUGAAACAAGUAGAAAUAGGAAUUACUUAACAAAUCAUAUAUAUAAAUAUAUCAAAAUAUAUUAAAAACUCGAAGAGAUUUAACUCGAAGCUCCAAUUCUCCUUCAGAAAUUCAUACUAAGAACAACUCUUCUUUCACACACACAUACACUAUCAUAGAAGGUUGUGAACGUGUUCAGAAAUUUCUCAAACUUGUGAGAAAUACCAAAACCCUACCUGAAACGAAGUUGAUGAAGCGAGAUCUUCUUGCUCCUAAGCAAACUAGUAAUGGAUGACCCACUUCUCAAUGGACUCUUCGAUCAAGACCUUCCGACGAUAACCCACACACCACCUCUUCCUUAUAUGCCGAGAAGAAACCUUGUUUU